rnacentral:rRNA from 1 species
AGUGAACGCUGGCGGUAGGCCUAACACAUGCAAGUCGAACGGCAGCACAGUAAGAGCUUGCUCUUACGGGUGGCGAGUGGCGGACGGGUGAGGAAUACAUCGGAAUCUACUUUUUCGUGGGGGAUAACGUAGGGAAACUUACGCUAAUACCGCAUACGACCUACGGGUGAAAGCAGGGGAUCUUCGGACCUUGCGCGAUUGAAUGAGCCGAUGUCGGAUUAGCUAGUUGGCGGGGUAAAGGCCCACCAAGGCGACGAUCCGUAGCUGGUCUGAGAGGAUGAAGAGCCACAGUGAAACUGAGACACGGCCCAGGGACUGAGGGGAGGCAGAGGGGGGGAAGAUUGGAAAAAGGGGGGAAGCCUGAACCAGCCAUACCGGGGGGGUGAAGAAGCCCUUCGGGUGGGAAAGCCGUUUUGUGGGGAAAAAAAGGCAGCGGGUUAAAACCCGGGUGUUCGAACGGUACCCAAAAAAAAACCACGGCCAAAUUUGGG